rnacentral:tRNA from 1 species
GGGUGACUAGUAUAGUGGUCAGUACACUUCGUUGUGGAUUUUCUUCCGAGAAAUCAACUUCCGAAGAAACCCAGGUUCGAUUCCUGGGUCGCCCA